rnacentral:sRNA from 1 species
GUUUCCGUAGGUGAACCUGCAGAUGGAUCAUCGUCGAUACCUUAUAGGUACAUGCUGAUCACGAGAUGCCGAUAAUCAUGGAAUCAGGCUUGUUCUUGGUUCCAGUCGGUGUCUCACCCCAUCUAAGCUCUCGGUGAGGUGUCUAUUCUUGAUUGGAGCCGCUUUGAGUGACGGCAAUGAUAGUUGGGUAUGUUCCCCGUGAGGGUAGAGCAUAGACUUUAUGAACAGAGCUGGGCUGUCGCCUCACCAAAAACCAUCGAUAACUGGUGGCUGAGUGAGAAAUCACUGGAUCUGCUAUGCAGGGAGCCUUAAUGAGUUGGUCUUCACCAACACAACCGCCACUAUCGGUAAUCUAUUCCCAAUUAACUUGUUUCUAGUAAAAGGCUAAAUUAGUCAGUGGAAAAUAGCCUUAGCGAUGGAUCGGUUGAUUCGCGUAUCGAUGAAAAACGCAGCUAGCUGCGUUAUUUACCACGAAUUGCAGACGCUUAGAGUGGUGAAGUUUUGAACGCACAGCGCCGUUGGGUUUUCCCUUCGGCACGUCUGGCUCAGGGUUGUUUAAUAGACUUCGAUAUUGCUAGGAAGGCAGCAAUAUCGUGCACCAAACGGUGAUAGUGUCUAUAAAAUAGUGGUGCAUACCCCGUUUUAGGGUAAAAUAAAGGUCGUAAACUGAAACUUCUUCCGCCCGAGAAGUUAUAGGUAAUACUUAUGGAUGUGCCAUGUAUGAAAUAUGACGUGGUUAUAUACAUAAAUAGUAUUUCCUUGAAGUCUCAUUAUGCAACCUGAGCUCAGUCGUGAUUACCCGCUGAACUUAAGCAUAU